rnacentral:rRNA from 1 species
GUCCCAGACUCCUACGGGAGGCAGCAGUGAGGAAUAUUGGUCAAUGGGCGAGAGCCUGAACCAGCCAAGUCGCGUGAGGGAGGACGGCCCUACGGGUUGUAAACCUCUUUUGCCGGGGGACAAACGGCGGCACGCGUGCCGUCCUGAGGGUACCCGGAGAAAAAGCAUCGGCUAACUCCGUGCCAGCAGCCGCGGUAAUACGGAGGAUGCGAGCGUUAUCCGGAUUUAUUGGGUUUAAAGGGUGCGCAGGCGGAUUUUUAAGUCAGCGGUAAAAUCGGGGGGCUCAACCCCAUCCAGCCGUUGAAACUGGGGAUCUAGAGUGUGCGAGAGGUAUGCGGAAUGCGUGGUGUAGCGGUGAAAUGCAUAGAUAUCACGCAGAACCCCGAUUGCGAAGGCAGCAUACCGGUGCACAACUGACGCUCAGGCACGAAAGCGUGGGUAUCGAACAGGAUUAGAUACCCUUGUA